rnacentral:lncRNA from 1 species
CAGAAAGUAAGCCGAAUUUUGAUUGGUCUUCCAGAGGGACCUGUCUCUGAACCAGCUACCUAGGGAGCCAAGCUCAGUUUUACUGCCCAGCUGCGUGGACCCCUUUCUAUGGACCGAAGAUGGGGAGUCUUCUACUGAGUCUGCUAGACACCCUGGGAUGGCCACUUUUAAUUCCGAGGCUGGCGAAAUAACCUGGAAUGCUGGACCAUCGGAUGCUCUGGUUUUGGCUUUGAGAGCCAGACAAGAGGCUGAACGGGAAACGGGAGAUGAAGAAAGCUUGAAGUGAAGAAUGAAGUAUUGUAAUGUACAUAUCCCACCAAGCACUUUUUAUCUAGAAUUUUGCUAUUUGUACAAAUAAGGUAAUUGUUAAAAUGAGAAAUUUUUAAAUAAAAUUACUGGGCACUUUUACA